CCUACGGGUGGCAGCAGUGGGGAAUAUUGCACAAUGGGGGAAACCCUGAUGCAGCGACGCCGCGUGAGUGAAGAAGUAUCUCGGUACGUAAAGCUCUAUCAGCCGGGAAGAAAAUGACGGUACCUGAGUAAGAAGCCCCGGCUAACUACUUGCCAGCAGCCGCGGUAAUACGUAGGGGGCAAGCGUUAUCCGGAUUUACUGGGGGUAAAGGGAGCGUAGACGGCAGUACAAGUCUGGAGUGAAAUACCGGGGGUUAACCCCGGGACUGCUUUGGAAACUGUGCGGCUGGAGUGCAGGAGGGGUAAGCGGAAUUCCUAGUGUAGCGGUGAAAUGGGUAGAUAUGAGGAGGAACACCGGUGGCGAAGGCAGCUUACUGGACUGUAACUGACGUUGAGGCUCGAAAGCGUGGGGAGCAAACAGGAUUAGAUACCCGAGUAGUC
rnacentral:rRNA from 1 species